UAAAAUUAAAUAUCUGGAAUCUGAACUGAAAAGUAAAACUUUUCAGUUAGAAUCUGAGAAAGAAGAACUGGAAAAAUACAGACAGCUGUACCUCAAAGAGCCAGAAAAUAGAACGUCAUGGGCAAGUCAAUUACACUCGAUUAACGAGAGGCUGGUAGUGAUGAACACUAAACUUCAGAUGGCGGAAGAGUACAAGUGUUCUGUCCUCAAAACUAUUCCUGCAAGGCCUGCUGAAAAAUUUAAUGAUAGCUCAGAGCACAAAUGGACUCUUACUCAAAGUGCAAACUUCAGGAGUUUUUCAGAACCUUCAACUAGCGUGAGUGAUUGCUUGUUCGGGAUGCACAAGAAGUAGGAAAAUAAUGCAGCUAGAGAAGUAAAAGAAGGUAUGUUGCCAACAUUUCUGAAUUUAGACAUUGAUUUCUGAAAUCCACUGUAAACAGUAAAUGGCACCUCUUUCUGUUGUUUGAAUAACAGAUACUAUGUAAAUUUUUUUCUUACACGUAUCUAAUGAAAACUGUGAAAGCACAAUUUCAUUCAUAGUGAUAAAUAUACUUAUUCCUCACUUCUUCAUCAUGAUCCAUAGCUUU